rnacentral:piRNA from 1 species
UAGGAGCGUGAUGGUAACCUGGAGAGAC